rnacentral:rRNA from 1 species
GUGCCAGCCGCCGCGGUAAUACGGAGGGUGCGAGCGUUAAUCGGAAUUACUGGGCGUAAAGGGUGCGUAGGUUGUUGAUUAAGUUAUCUGUAAAAUCCCUGGGCUCAACCUGGGCAGGUCAGAUAAGACUGAUUGACUCGAGUAUAGGAGAGGGUAGUGGAAUUUCCGGUGUAGCGGUGAAAUGCGUAGAGAUCGGAAGGAACACCAGUGGCGAAGGCGGCUACCUGGCCUAAUACUGACACUGAGGCACGAAAGCGUGGGGAGCAAACAGGAUUAGAUACCCUGGUAGUCCACGCUGUAAACGAUGUCAACUAGCUGUUGGUCAUAUAGAAAUGAUUAGUGGCGCAGCAAACGCGAUAAGUUGACCGCCUGGGGAGUACGGUCGCAAGAUUAAAACUUAAAUAAAUUGACGG